UAAGGAAUAUUGGUCAAUGGGCGAAAGCCUGAACCAGCCAUCCAGCGUGCAGGAAGAAGGCCCUAUGGGUUGUAAACUGCUUUUGUCAGGGAAUAAACCUGUGGAUUUAUCCGCAGCUGAAGGUACCUGAAGAAUAAGCACCGGCUAACUCCGUGCCAGCAGCCGCGGUAAUACGGAGGGUGCGAGCGUUAUCCGGAAUUACUGGGUUUAAAGGGUGCGUAGGCGGCCAUGUAAGUCAGGAGUGAAAGUUUGCGGCUCAACCGUAAAAUUGCUUUUGAUACUGCAUGGCUGGAAUCAGGAUGAGGUCAGCGGAAUGUGGCAUGUAGCGGUGAAAUGCAUAGAUAUGCCAUAGAACACCAAUUGCGAAGGCAGCUGGCUAGACCUGUAUUGACGCUGAGGCACGAAAGCGUGGGGAGCGAACAGG
rnacentral:rRNA from 1 species